UCUUAUGGCCAUGCCACCCUGAACACAGUCACACCCAAUCUCGUCUGAUAUGGGGAGUUGGAACAAGUUUGAGUCUGGUUAGUACUUGGUUGGGAGAUCGCCUGGGAAUACCAGGUGCUGUAGGCU
rnacentral:rRNA from 1 species